rnacentral:rRNA from 1 species
GAUCAUGGCUCAGGAUGAACGCUAGCGGCAGGCCUAAUACAUGCAAGUCGAGGGGCAGCGCGGUAGCAAUACUGGCGGCGACCGGCGCACGGGUGCGUAACACGUAUGCAACCUACCUUCAACUGGAGGAUAGCCCGGGGAAACUCGGAUUAAUACUCCAUAACACAGGGAUCCCGCAUGGGAAUAUUGUUAAAGCUACGGCGGUUGAAGAUGGGCAUGCGUUCGAUUAGCUAGUUGGUGUAGGUAACGGCUCACCAAGGCUACGAUCGAUAGGGGGUCUGAGAGGAUGAUCCCCCACACUGGUACUGAGAUACGGACCAGACUCCUACGGGAGGCAGCAGUAGGGAAUAUUGGUCAAUGGGCGCAAGCCUGAACCAGCCAUGCCGCGUGCAGGAAGAAGGCCCUCUGGGUUGUAAACUGCUUUUGAUAGGGAACAAAUGCCACUUGCGAGUGGAGCUGAGUGUACCUAUAGAAUAAGCACCGGCUAACUCCGUG